GAUGAACGCUAGCGGCAGGCUUAACACAUGCAAGUCGAGGGGCAGCAUGACACGGAGAUUCGUCGAAGUGUUGAUGGCGACCGGCGCAAGGGUGCGUAACGCGUGAGCAACUUGCCCGUUUCUGGGGAAUAACCGGUGGAAACGCCGACUAAUACUCCAUAGUAUAUCAGAAAGGCAUCUUUUUGAUAUUAAAGCUUCGGUGGUGACGGAUUGGCUCGCGUGACAUUAGCUAGAUGGAGAGGUAACGGCUCACCAUGGCGACGAUGUCUAGGGGAACUGAGAGGUUAAUCCCCCANACUGGUACUGAGACACGGUCCAGACUCCUACGGGAGCAGCAGUGAGGAAUAUUGGGUCAAAUGGUCAGACGACUGAACCAGCCAUGCCGCGUGAAAGGUGAACGGCCCUAUGGGUCUUAAACUUCUUUUGUAAGGGAGCAAUAAGGCGUACGUGUACGUCGAUGAGAGUACCUUACGAUAAGCAUCGGCUAACUCCG
rnacentral:rRNA from 1 species